GGAAUAAAAUUAUUUAUUUAUUUAUUUUAGUAGUUUAAUGAAAUUGUUUUUUGUGUUUAAGUAUUUUUGUAGAAUAAAUUUUUUUUUAUUAUAUGUUAUUAGUAAUGUAAAUGGUUUUUUGUUCUUUAAAAAAGUAGAAUUUGUUUUUUGUACCUUGUGUAUCAGGGUUAAUUAAUUUAAUUAUGUAUAUUUAUUUCUCGAAUUAAGAAGAGCUAAAUUUAUAUUUAUUUAUUGUUAUAUAAAUAUGAUUAAUAUAAAUUUAGAAAUUAAAUGUUAUUCGUUUCUUAAGAUAUCUAGUUUUUUCAGAAUUAAAUUUAAUUUACUUUUUAUUAUUAAUUUAAUUAUUUUUUUGGUUUAAUUAAUUUUUAUUAAGAAUAUUUAAAGGGAUAAGCUUUUAGAUUUUUUUAAAAGUUUAAUUUUAUUUUUAUUAGUUGUAGGGUUAGAAUUAUCCUUUAAAAAUGAUGUUAUAAUCAGUUUUGAAAUUAAGUUUAUUUAAUUAUUCUUUAAUUUUUUAUGAAAAUUAAAAUUUUAUUUUAUUUUAUUUUGUAAUAAUGAUUAAAUUAGUAUACAUAUUAAUUUAAUUUUUAAUUUUUUAAUUAAAUUGAUUUAAGGAAUUCGGCAAAUAUAGUUUUCGCCUGUUUAUCAAAAACAUGUCUUUAUGUUUUUAUUUAAGGUCGGGCCUGCUCAAUGAUUAUUAAAUAGCCGCAGUAUUUUGACUGUGCAAAGGUAGCAUAAUCAUUAGUUUUUUAAUUGGGAGCUGGAAUGAAGGGUUUGACGAGAAACUAUCUGUCUUAAUUUAAUUUUUAGAAUUUAAUUUUUAAGUGAGAAAGCUUAAAUAUUUUUUAGGGACGAUAAGACCCUUUAGAGUUUUAUAUAAAUAUUUAUAUUAAAAAUAUUAUUUUUUAUUUUUAUAUAAGUGUUUUUAUUUGGUUGGGGUGACUUAAAAAAAUUAAUAACUUUUUAAUGUUGAUACAAAUAUAUUUGAUUUAAUUGAUCCAAUUUUUUUGAUUGUUAGAUAUAAUUACCUAAGGGAUAACAGCGUUAUUUAACUUUAGAGUUCAUAUUAAAAGUUAAGAUUGCGACCUCGAUGUUGGAUUAAAAUAAACUUUUGGUGCAGUUGUUUAAAAGUUAGGUCUGUUCGACCUUUAAAAUUUUACAUGAUCUGAGUUCAGACCGGCGUGAGCCAGGUCGGUUUCUAUCUUAAAAUUAUUAAAACAUUUUAGUACGAAAGGACCAUUUGUUUAAUAUAAUAUUUGAAUAUUGAUUAAUUUU
rnacentral:rRNA from 1 species